rnacentral:rRNA from 1 species
AGAGUUUGAUCCUGGCUCAGAACGAACGCUGGCGGCGUGGUUUAGGCAUGCAAGUCGAGCGCGAAAGUCCCUUCGGGGGCGAGUAGAGCGGCGAAAGGGUGAGUAAUGCUUGGGCAACUUACCCCUUGGACCGGAAUAGCCACUGGAAACGGUGGGUAAUACCGGAUGGUCUCGCGAACACUGCGGUGGUUGCGAGUAAACGCGGGGGUCUUCGGACCUCGCGCCGAGGGAGAGGCUCGAGUUCUACCAGCUUGUUGGUGAGGUAAUGGCUCACCAAGGCGAAGACGGAUAGCCGGACUGAGAGGUUGGCCGGCCACACUGGCACUGAGACACUGGCCAGACUCCUACGGGAGGCUGCAGUCGAGAAUCUUCCGCAAUGGACGAAAGUCUGACGGAGCGACGCCGCGUGGAGGAAGAAGGCCUUCGGGUUGUAAACUCCUGUCAGAGCUUAUGAAUGCAGACGGGCUAAUACUCCGUUCUGUUGACAAAGGGCUCAAAGGAAGCCACAGCUAACUUCGUGCCAGCAGCUGCGGUAAUACGAAGGUGGCGAGCGUUGUUCGGAUUCACUGGGCAUAAAGGGCGCGUAGGCGGCUUGGUAAGCGGAUUGUGAAAUCCCGGGGCUCAACCCCGGAACUGCACUCCGAACUGCCGAGCUAGAGAGCGAGAGGGGGCUGUGGAACUCUAGGUGGAGCGGUGAAAUGCGUAGAUAUCUAGAGGAACACCGGUGGCGAAGGCGACAGCCUGGCUCGUUUCUGACGCUGAGGCGCGAAAGCGUGGGUAGCAAACAGGAUUAGAUACCCUGGUAGUCCACGCCGUAAACGAUG